GAGAAGAUACCACUUUUUGAUUAAAGAACAUGCAGGGGGCCAUGCUGGGUUACCUAUUGAUUCAAAUCAAGUUUGAUCUGUGACCUAGCUGGUAAAGGAUAGAGAUCCCCACCUACUGUGAGGUGUGGGGAAAAUGGCAUAUGCUUUUACAAACCCUUUGGGGGAUAUGUUCCAUUCUUGAAUAAGAGGUGCGAUGAAAAAUAUGGCUACCGAUGUGUUUGCAACAAUGGUUAUGAAGGGGAUGGAUUUAAUUGCACUAAGAGUACCAAAUAAAUCUCCCAAAGAAGACAUUUAUUUCAAGCAACCAGAACCUUGCAAUUAUCUAAGAAUCACCAAUGGAAGUAAGAUUUAUUCAGAGAAGCACUGAUAAAAUCAUAACGGUUCCACCUUUAGUGUAUCAAUUUGAUUCAUACAGAUGAAAAAAAAAUUGGCAUUGCAUUUGGUAUUUUUUCAGUGAUUCCUCAAUGA